AAAGCAUGCUAUAUCACAAACCUUGAGAUUGAUGAGAACUAGUCAGGUUCAGGGGCUGAAACAGAAACCUCUCAACUGAUUAUUAAAAAGCCUUAAAAAUGAUGGGUGCAAGAGUGAUGUUGUAGCUGUGACCUGGUGAAGAAUGUCUUGCAUUCAAAAGCUUGCCUAACUCUACU